rnacentral:rRNA from 1 species
CUAGUCUUAUCGGUGGAUCACUCGGCUCGUGGAUCGAUGAAGAACGCAGCCAACUGCGAUAAUUAGUGUGAACUGCAGAAACCUUGAACACAGAACUUUCGAAUGCACAUUGCGCCAUUGGAGUGACAUCCAUUGGCAUGCCUGGUUCAGGGUCGUAA